rnacentral:rRNA from 1 species
GACGAACGCUGGCGGCGUGCUUAAUACAUGCAAGUAGAACGCAGUUGCGAACGGGUGAGUAACGCGUAGGUAACCUGCCUCAUAGCGGGGGAUAACUAUUGGAAACGAUAGCUAAUACCGCAUACUGUGCGAUGGACCUGCGUUGUAUUAGGUAGUUGGGGAGGUAAAGGCUCACCAAGGCGACGAUACAUAGCCGACCUGAGAGGGUGAUCGGGCACACUGGGAGUGAGACACGGCCCAGACUCGUACGGGAGUCAGCAGUAGGAAAGCGUCGGCAAUGGACGAACGUCUGACAGAGCAACGCCGCGAGAGUGAGGAAGGUUUUCGGAUCGUAGAGCUCUGUUGUUAGAGAAGCGGUAGCUAACCAGAAAGGGACGGCUAACUACGUGCCAGCAGCCGCGGUAAUAC